UGGUGGCUGAGCGGUAAAUCAUUUGACCGAUGCCCUCGAGUUCCGAGUUCAAGUCCGA
rnacentral:tRNA from 1 species